GUGGGGAAUAUUGGACAAUGGGCGAAAGCCUGAUCCAGUCAUGCCGCGUGUGUGAAGAAGGUCUUCGGAUUGUAAAGCACUUUAAGUUGGGAGGAAGGGCAUUAACCUAAUACGUUAGUGUUUUGACGUUACCGACAGAAUAAGCACCGGCUAACUUCGUGCCAGCAGCCGCGGUAAUACGAAGGGUGCAAGCGUUAAUCGGAAUUACUGGGCGUAAAGCGCGCGUAGGUGGUUCGUUAAGUUGGAUGUGAAAGCCCCGGGCUCAACCUGGGAACUGCAUCCAAAACUGGCGAGCUAGAGUACGGUAGAGGGUGGUGGAAUUUCCUGUGUAGCGGUGAAAUGCGUAGAUAUAGGAAGGAACACCAGUGGCGAAGGCGACCACCUGGACUGAUACUGACACUGAGGUGCGAAAGCGUGGGGAGCAAACAGGAUUAGAAACCCCAGUAGUCC
rnacentral:rRNA from 1 species